rfam:Gossypium arboreum cultivar AKA8401 contig_50605_1, whole genome shotgun sequence.
AAUUAAAAAUUCCAUACAUUUUUACUGUUAAAAAUUAGCGUGGUAACAAAAUAAUCAGAUAGUUACACAUGGCAUGUCAUGGGUACCUCAUGUCGACAUACAUGGACCAAUUUUUAACAAAAAAAAGUGGAUGAAAUUUUUAAUA